rnacentral:rRNA from 1 species
GACAAACGCUGGCGGCGUGCUUAACACAUGCAAGUCGAGCGGAAAGGCCCUUCGGGGUACUCGAGCGGCGAACGGGUGAGUAACACGUGAGCAACCUGCCCCUAGCUCUGGGAUAGCUCCGGGAAAACCGGGAUUAAUACCAGAUACGACCACUUUAGACAUCUGCUGUGGUGGAAAGGAUUCCGGCUAGGGAUGGGCUC